rnacentral:tRNA from 1 species
GCCCUUGUAGGUCAACGGAUAGACCAUCAGCUUCCGAAGCUGAAAAUUGCAGGUUCGAAUCCUGUCGAGGGCA